GGGGAUGACAGGAAUCGACGGGGAAUUCGCACAUUUACAAAAAGUGAGGUCGUAGUUAUGCGCUGGGCGGGAGCAGUUCCGUUCAGGAAAUAACAAAAAAACAAUAACAGCAAAACUUGAUUUCAAGAAAGCCGUUGCUGAACUCCAAGGUGUUGCGGAAGCAAAACUUGCAGAAAUGGGUGGUUUAUUCCAACCAAAUCUCAUGUUGAACGUUGCUUAAUUGCAAUUUUCCACUUUAGUUCAGUCUCAUUCUUUUGAUCCUUCCGACUUGCAAAGGAUAUGAGAUUAACCAGCCGGAAUACGUGAAUUGCCAUUCCCAAUUGGGCAAGGAACCGACAAAUUAUAAUUGGCUGUUUGGAGAGGUUUGUUUAUUUCCCUCCUCCAGACAUGCGUAAAAAAUAUCCUAUGCCUCACUAUUUUUUUGUAAACGUGUUUCCUCAGAUCCGGGUUCAAUUCCCGGCAUCUCCACAC
rnacentral:tmRNA from 1 species